AAAGUCGUAACAAGGUUUCCGUAGGUGAACCUGCGGAAGGAUCAUUAAUGAUUUUUUAAGCAAACCAAGCUUUUUUUUAUAAAAAGUGAGGUUUUGCGAACGUAUUUAAAACCCCCCACUCUUUAAAAAAAAUAUAUAUUUCAUUCAUAUCAAAUGAAUAAAAAAAAAGAUCACUUUCAACAACGGAUCUCUUGGCUCUC
rnacentral:misc_RNA from 1 species